rnacentral:snRNA from 1 species
UUGCUUCAGCAGCACAUCUACUAAAAUUGGAACGAUACAGAGAAGAUUAGCAUGGCCCCUGCACAAGGAUGACACGCAAAUUCGUGAAGCGUUCCAUAUUUUU